UAUGUCUUUUGACCAUUUUAUCUCUAGGCUUACUAUUGCUUAUUUUGAAAGAUCAAAGGUAUUUUGGUAAUUUCAUUUUAUGGGAUGAGGUGGCUUAUCCUAAAGGUGGCAGUUGGCCACUUUAGAUUAUUCAGCCUAAGAUUUAUCCAACAAUUAGAGGAAUUAAAAAAUUAAAAAAAAAAAGAUGAAAAAACUCAAAUUUUCUUACUCUCUCUCUCUCUCUCUCUUCCCUUCGAGCCUAGCAAGAACCCACCAAAAUAUUAGGAUUUUGGUUUGAUUUUAAAGAGAUCAUAGUUGAAUCUAAGUGGUGUAAAUCAAAGGUACAGGAAAGGCGAAGGCUGAACAGGAGUGAGCUCCAAGCUUAGAUGGUGAUUAUACAUGUCAAGACGGGCGACUUGGGGUGUUCGAUCUCGGGACAUCUUGGGCAGUAUUUUGCAGUCGCUCUGCGACAUGUUGGUAAAAAUAUUUUGACUAUGUUUGUAAAAGUUUAAACUCGAGAUCGCGAUUAUGUAAAUAUAAGUAUUUAUAAAGUUUGAUAAUUUUAGGUGAGAAAGUUAAUUAGAAAAUAACUGUAGCGCGCCUAAGUAUCAGGGCGUUCCAUCAUGUUAUUUAACAAGAGAUAUGAUAACUUACCAAACAUGCUAGAAUAACUAUGUUGUGUAAAUUGAUUCAUAUUGAUUUACAUUUUGUUAUGUAUCAAAUAUAAAUAUAUCAAUGUGCUUUCGAAUGUAAUAAUAUUCGUUUGCUUUUCAAUUA